rnacentral:rRNA from 1 species
GGCUCAGUAGGUUGGUCGUGCCACCGGUACGUACUGGUCUCACUGAUUCCUCCUUCCUGAAGAACCGUAAUGCCAUUAAUUUGGUGUUGCGGGGGAACAGGACUGUUACUUUGAAAAAAUUAGAGUGUUUAAAGCAAGCUAACGCUUGAAUACAUUAGCAUGGAGUAAUGAAACAGGACGAUCGAUCCUAUUUUGUUGGUUUCUAGGAUUGACGUA